rnacentral:tRNA from 1 species
CCCCUGGUGGCUCAGACGGUAAAGCGUCUGCCUGCAGUGCAGGAGACCCAGGUUCGAUCCCUGGGUCGGGGAG